rnacentral:rRNA from 1 species
UACGUAGGGGGCAAGCGUUGUCCGGAUUUAUUGGGCGUAAAGAGCGUGUAGGCGGCUUUACAGGUCCGUUGUGAAAACUCGAGGCUCAACCUCGAGACGCCGGUGGAAACCGUAAAGCUAGAGUCCGGAAGAGGAGAGUGGAAUUCCUGGUGUAGCGGUGAAAUGCGCAGAUAUCAGGAAGAACACCCGUGGAGAAGGCGGCUCUCUGGGACGGUACUGACGCUGAGACGCGAAAGCGUGGGGAGCGAACAGG